GAUGAACGCUGGCGGCGUGCCUAAUACAUGCAAGUCGAGCGAAGCGGGGACGGGUGAGUAACACGUGGAUAACAUCCUAUAAAACUGGGAUAAAUUCGGGAACCAGGAGCUAAACGGGAUACUUAUAGCUGGAUCCGCGCGGCAUUAGCUAGUUGGUAAGGUAACGGGUUACAAAGGCAACGAGGCAUAGACGACCUGCGAGGGUGAUCGGCCACACUGGAACUGAGACACGGUACAGACUCCUACGGGAGGCAGCAUGAGGGAAUCGUCCGCAAUGGGCGAAAGCCUGACGGAGCAACGCCGCGUGAUUGAUGAAGGUCUUCGGAUCGUAAAACUCUGUUAUUAGGGAAGCGGUACCUAAUCAGAAAGCCACGGCUAACGACGUGCCAGCAGCCGCGGUAAUUC
rnacentral:rRNA from 1 species